rnacentral:rRNA from 1 species
AGAGUUUGAUCAUGGCUCAGAUUGAACGCUGGCGGCAUGCCUUACACAUGCAAGUCGAACGGCAGCACGGGAGCAAUCCUGGUGGCGAGUGGCGAACGGGUGAGUAAUAUAUCGGAACGUGCCCAGUAGUGGGGGAUAGCCCGGCGAAAGCCGGAUUAAUACCGCAUACGACCUGUGGGUGAAAGCGGGGGAUCGCAAGACCUCGCGCUAUUGGAGCGGCCGAUAUCAGAUUAGCUUGUUGGUGGGGUAAAAGCCCACCAAGGCGACGAUCUGUAGCUGGUCUGAGAGGACGACCAGCCACACUGGGACUGAGACACGGCCCAGACUCCUACGGGAGGCAGCAGUGGGGAAUUUUGGACAAUGGGCGCAAGCCUGAUCCAGCCAUGCCGCGUGUGGGAAGAAGGCCUUCGGGUUGUAAACCACUUUUGUCAGGGAAGAAACGGUCUGAUCUAAUACAUUGGGCUAAUGACGGUACCUGAAGAAUAAGCACCGGCUAACUACGUGCCAGCAGCCGCGGUAAUACGUAGGGUGCAAGCGUUAAUCGGAAUUACUGGGCGUAAAGCGUGCGCAGGCGGCUUUGCAAGACAGAUGUGAAAUCCCCGGGCUCAACCUGGGAACUGCAUUUGUGACUGCAUGGCUAGAGUACGGUAGAGGGGGAUGGAAUUCCGCGUGUAGCAGUGAAAUGCGUAGAUAUGCGGAG